rnacentral:lncRNA from 1 species
CCUUGAUGAAUUUCUUCCAAGCAACACACAGACGAUAACAUGUAUGGCAAUUGGAGUGGAAGAUGCUAAUUUUUGACAGAUAAAACUUUCCUACAUUUCCAAUAAUAAGUAUGGGAUCUCCUACGCUAAAUAAUUGUUCCGGACGAAUCUUCUUUGGUAUGGUCUGCAAUCCAAAUUUUAUUUUAAGUUAAUUCAAUCGUCCACUCCAGUUCUACUGGAGCUUCUUGUUCUUCUUCAUCUUCAUCUUAUUUUUCUUCGUUUUGUUAGUUGUUGUUCUUCGUCUUCUUCAACCUCCAUCGUCGAAUCGGGCUCUUCCACCUCAGGUGGAAUAAAAUCCCUAGGCCUUUAAAAAAAUGCGGGUACCGAAAUAGAUGGUCGAAGAACACCAUCUUUGAAGGUUGGAAGUACUUCAUACUUUGUUAUUUGAACGAUCAAUGAUUUUCGGGGAGUUGGAUAGAAUAGGAACUCCAGCACCAUGUCUCUCAUUACUGCCUCCUUGUCAACAAAGAUUCUCCAUCAUGAAAUGAAAAUAAAUAAAAAAUUAAAUUGCAAGCCACAAUUAGUGUAGUUAAGCACGACCCGCGUCCUCCGCGUGUGCGUUUCACGUCCUUGCAAAUCCCAGAAACAAAUAGGGAUAAAUCUUUAAAAACCGAAGGCAAGACUUUGAUUUCGAUCUGGAACAGGAACAGGGAAAAUCGAAAUCGAUCUGGAAAUCGAACAGGGAAGUGCGUCAGAAGAUCGAUCACGAUCUGGAAGUCCGUCUGCAACAAACGCGAUCUGGAAAUUACGAUCUGGAAGAACACGAUUGCAGGUCAGUCAAUAAACGCGAUAUGGAAGAAUGCGGUCUGGAAGAAUCCGAUCUGGAAGUGGAAUCGCGUCGAUUUCCUUCACCGAUUGCGAUCGUUGUUCUUGACUGUGUCGCGAUCUGGAGAAAUCGGAGGAUGCGCGAUCUGGAAAUUUUAUUUCACCUUCACAGAAGAGAACCGUCUGAUACCAUUUUGGAAUCUCAAUGUUCUGUGAAAGCAAAACUCAUUUGGAAAAUGAAAACUUGAUUGAGUGAAUUAUCUUGUCAAAU